rnacentral:lncRNA from 1 species
GAAGCUGUUAAAAGACUAUGCUGGCGAAUAUGCAACCGGUGAUGAAGUUUUCCUGGUUAGUUUUCCUCCUUCAUCUGUGUACAUCAUAAACCCUUCUAUAAUACACAAUAGUCUGUGCAAGCAAGCUCAGUCCACAAGCAGGGAGUGGAAAUCCCUGUUGGUGCAAUCGCGGUUUAAGAUUUAAGUUUUGAGGAGUGGGGUUGGAGGAUCAUUCUUAUUAAUUUGGGUAGAGCAGACAAGAUAUAAGAGUACAUACUCGCAACUGCAAUAUAGAGCUUGGAGUUCAUAAAUCAAAAUUAACCUUGGCUGUAUGUGGGUCAUCUAUGCAUUGAGUUUCUAAUAACUGCAUUGAUCUAUGGCUCUUUCAUGUAGUGAUUACUAUUGAACAUUGAGGUUACUCUAAUUUUUCUAUUGAAAAUAUGAAGAUAAUCAUCUGACAGAAGGGAGAGUGAGUGAGUGAAGAAGUAAUGCGAAAAAAGCCAGGAGAAAGGAGAAGGAUUUGUCUUUGCCUGUUUUAUCCUUUAUGGCCUGAAGUACAUUAUAAGGUUGCGAGUUAUGACCUACUUCAGUUUUCUGAGAUCACAAUAUGUAUUUAGUUGUGCUUUGCCGAACUGAUAUUUGGUCAGCCAUGGUAGAACUUGAUUUCUAAUUUUCCAAGCAAUAAGAAUGUGUGAAGGGGUUUAUGUGAUAUGACUAUUCCUAUUAUAUAUGUUAUCAACCGUGCAGGCAGAUUUGUUUCUAGCACCACAGCUUUAUGCAGCCAUCAACGUGAUCAACCUUGACAUGGUAAUGGUUUCCUUUUCAAAUUCAUGUAUUGGUUACAUCUUCAACCAAUUUAUGUAUCUCAUUCAAUUUGCAUUGGUACCAUAUUCUACUUCAACACACCAGUAAAAAAUAGUCCUUCCUUUCCAAUGCAUUACUUUAUACAUGCAUGCGACAAUGAAUUUUUAUUUCCUCACUCUACAUGCAGACUCAAUUCCCUCUUUUACUGAGGCUGCAUAAGGCGUACAGCAAGCUACCGGCAUUUCAAAAUGCUGUACCAGAAAAACAGCCGGACGCCCCUUCAUCGUAAACUAGUAGUUAUAACAGAAUACUAAGCAGGCCUGCAGUGACACAUUGUACUCGAAAUUAUUAAUAAACUGCAGCUAUUAGUAUUGGAACGUUCUUAUCGGAGUUCUUCAAGUUGUUUUCUAAUCCACUGGGGAUGAGUUACGUGAUCAAAUUACCUUUACCGCUGUGUUAAGAUUAUGUUAAUGCCUUUUCGUCUUUCCAUGUUUCAGAUCAGCCUUUGUUGACCCUCAAUAAGCAGCAUUAAGUGUGAACUCUGGGAUCUUUUACUUGAGCUUUCGAAGAGUUUGCAAGUAGGUUUGGUUUGUUCUGUUGUGAGUCUGUAUACUUUAUGAUAGUAGCCAUUGAAUCAAUAAAUAAUCGGAGUUUCUUGAGCUCUUUUGGUUUAUGGAAUGUGUUUGGAUUUAAUUCUUAAGCUAGCUCAGUUGUAGGCUUUUAGAUCUUUAUAUUCUGCUGCCUCUUGACCGCGCGAAUCUAACAUUUUGGACAUUAACGUUAAUGUUUGUCAACAAAAACAUUUCCCUCCUAAAAUAAAAAUAAUCACUCCCUUGUUUCCCCAAUUAACCAAACAUGGGAAACUAUUAAUCUCAUCUUCUUCCUAUAUCCCUCGCAAGUUCACUUUCUUGCUCAUCCAGCACGUUGUCAAGGGUGGCUUCACUUCCAGCGGCAAUUAGCGUCUUCAUUUUUUAUUUUUUUCACUUCCAUUAAUCUCUCUCGGUUUUUCAUUUAAGUUUUCUUCUCCAUCCUUUGUGUUUGUUAAAACGAAGUAAGACUUUUAAGUUUUUUGUUGAAAGUAGCUGCAAGAUCAUGGUGACCCAUAUUUUGCGCGACAGCUGCAAGAAUGCCUGCUACCAUAGCCAAUAAUCAAACAACAAUCAUACUUGGCAGGAAUCUGCGAGAUGGUAUCAUACCCUCAAAACUUAUUUAUGAGGAUGAGAAUGGUGAAGAAAUAAUAGACAAAGCCAAAGAUUGGGGUGUCGUCUGACAGUGCCGAUAAAAUUUUCAUAUUACAAGCCAUAUAUGUAUGGAAAACAAGAAGAGUUUCCAGUGAAGUGAAGAACUUGUAAGAAAGGGAAAGAUGGGAGGUGAUUCAAAAUUUCAUAAUUAAUUAUCCAUCUCCACAAUUUAAAGGGUUUUAUACAUUUCAUGAAACACUAAAUUGUGCUAAAAAGUAAAUGAGACCUAAUUACUCCGUUAGCCAUUUAAUUAAACUAUUAGACAAUUCUGGUGACCAUUUUGUUUAGUUAUAUUUAAUUUUAUGCAAACCGUCUGGCUCUAUAUGAAAUUACACAUAGUCUCUUAGAAUUAAAAAUGUAGCCCCACCUAAGUUCCUGGACUUUUGUAAAGUGAGGAAAAGCUAUUAGAUCAUAUGGUUUGUUUAAUAGUAUAAUGUCAUUACACUAUUACACUAUUAAACCGUAUGGUUAAUAAAUUUUUUAAACUUUAAUAAAGUCUAAAAUUUUGUAUUAGACCAAUGCUCACACAUAUAAGGGAGGGGAUAAUUUAACUUAAAAUUUAUUUACUUAAAUUUUUAACACAAAAUUUGAACCAUGGAUUUCAAAAAAUAUAAUGGUAGAUAUUAAAAGUUAAAGGAGCAUUUAAUGAUACUAGUUCAUUUAUCAUUAGAUUGUAUGAGAUCAAUAACUCAAAUUUUGAGUUAAAAAUUUAGGUUGAAAUAUCCCUUACCUUAUAUAUGUGUGUAUCUUUCAAUGAUAAUGUAAUAAUUUUAUAUGAGUACUUAUAAUUUAUGACACUGCGAGAACUCAAAAACCUCAUCUCUUUAUAGUCUCGAGUAGUACUAUCGGUUCGUGCAAUCACAUCUUAAAUAAUUAUGUGCACGCACGUUCAUCUUUUUGACUCUGUACAACAUUAUCAUGACUUGUUUUGUUCUAAAGCAUGUAUUAUAUAUAAUAGAAGUCGACGACCGUACUAACAAUACAUUUUUCAAGUAAUCUUUCUGUGGAAUUCAACAGCAAAGUACAGUCUAACUAAUUAUAUAUUACUUAACAAUAAUAUUUUGUUUCCUUUGACAAGAAAAGAAAAACUCAAAAUAUUAAUUGUUCUCAUUGUUUUCUUACGUAUUUAAAUCAAAAUUCUGCGGUUGAACUAACAAGCAUCAGCAUCCACAAAUAGCAUAGCAUGUGUAAUAAACACGGGUUACAUUUGAUGAGCAGAAGAUGAAGUUGUCACCUUUUCUUCUGUACCCUUUUGAUCAAUUCUUACCUUAUCAUUACUCUACAUAUACCAUAUAUAUGUAUAUGUUUAGUCAAUGUCGCGUGCCAAUAUGUAUCUGGCUUUCGCAAAAUAACGUAAUUUUAUUCUAGAAUUGGUAAAAUUUGACACAACCUAAUUAUCUAACACAAAUACGAUAGGAAUAAAUGAAUAUGACUCGUCAAAUUUGACACGAUUUUUUUUAUGUGUCAAGUUAGGAUCAAAGUUUUUGAUUAAUAACUGACCAAUGACACAAUUAUAUUUUUUUAAAAUUAAUUUAUAUGUUUUUGUCAUUAAAACUUAAAUAUUGAACAUAAUUCUUUUUUUUUUUUUGGAAGAAUAGACAUAUACACAGUAUUUUAUGUAUAAAAUUUUAUAUAGAUUUUGAAUUUUAAUAGUGUAAAUGUGUAAAAUAUUGGCACACAUGUAUAUUUUAUAAUAUUGAUAUAUAGUAUUGUUUACAUAUACAUAAUUAAAAUUUUAGUAGUAUGAAUGUGUAAUAUUUUGGGGUUUGUGUAUGUGUGUGUGUAAUAUUUAUUAAAUAUAUAGAUAUUAAAUGGGUUAUUUGGUAACCUGUUUAUGUUUCAAGUCGUGUUUAUUUUCAAUAUUUUGACACGAUUAUUAAACGAGUUGUAUUUAGGUUGACCUAAAUUUAACACAAUAUAAAACUGAAACGACAUAAAGACGACCUGACAUGCCAUUUUACAAGUUGUACUCAAUUCAUUAUAAGGCUUUGAUUGAUUCCUAUUUUUAUUUUAGGAUUUUUUUUAUAAGUUGAGUACACUAUUCAGGAUGUAAUUAUGCACAAAUCCGUAUUUUAAAGGAUACGAAUGUCCUGACUAACGAACGUUCACAUACAAUUUAUAUAUUAAUUGAUUGUGUUGAUCAACGUGUUCGCAUAUUUUUGUCACAUUUUGUAAUAUUAGUGAUGAUCUAUAUUAUAAGCAACAGAAAUGAUAAUUUCUGAAGCAAAUGGAAGGGGAAACGGCUGAAUGAUUGAUAAAAAUAUACUAGAAGCAGGGUGUGGAAAAUCUGCUUAACCUGCUUUUGUUUUAUGAUUUAUUUCUUUUAAUAAUAUAAGUUUGUUCAGGAUGAAAUUUAGAAGUUUGAAUUUUUCUUCCCCCGAAGUUAAGUUGUAAAAUGGACUGAAAAUGAUCGCCAAAAACAUUAUCUUCAAGUUGAUUAUAGACUUUAUUUUAUUAACCAAGCCAAUCGACCAACAGAUAUUUAUUAAUUGGAGGCCAUGGUGUGUGGUUUUGUAUUUAGCAUGCGUUUGGGGCAGCUGCGCUGCCACAGCGGAGCUGCUCCCCACCUUUUAUUUUAGGGAAAUAUUCCUUAAAAUAUAGGGUGGGGAGCAGCUGCCGAAACGCACCCUUCAUGUUGCGGGUUCCAUUAUGACAGCUCCAUUAAACUUUCUUGCACCAUUUAUCAUUUUUGAAAGUGAAAAUAGGGAAGAUGAAAAUAAUGAAAGGUUGAAUAUUGACUUCGUAUGUUACUACAUGCAAUGUUUAGUUUGUAUUUUCUGAGAGAAGUACGGGACAGUCAUAGGUUGCUUUUUGAAGUUAAUUUGGUUCUUCCCAAAGAGUCCUACCAAAUAAUAUCCAUCUUGCAGAGUUUCUUUUUUCAACAUUAGUUUUCUGCCUUAAUCUGACUACAGCUUGCAUUUUCAGCGCUUGAGAAGCUGUUAAAAGACUAUGCUGGGGAAUGUGCAACUGGUGAUGAAGUUUUCCUGGUUAGUUUUUCUGCUUCAUCUAUGUACAUGGUAAACCCUUCUAUAACACACAAUAGUCUGUGCAAGGAAGCUCAGUCCACAAGCGGGGAGUGGAAACCCCAGUUGGUGCAUUGCAGUUUAAGAUUUAACUUUGAGGACUGAGGUUGGGGGAUCAUUCUUAUUAAUUCGGGUAGAGCAGACAAGAUAUAAGAGUACAUACUCGCAACUGCAAUAUACAGCCUGGAGUUCAUAAAUCAAAUUAACCUUGGCUGUAUGUGGGUCAUCUAAGCAUUGAAUUUCUAAUAACUGCAUUGAUCUAUGCCUCUUUCAUGUGGUGAUUACUAUUGAACAUUGAGGUUACUCUAAUUUUUCUAUUGAAAAUAUGAAGAUAAUCAUCUGACAGAAGUCAGAGAGAGUGAAAGAGGUGGUGUGAAAAAAACCAGGAGAAAGGACAAGGAUUUGUCUUUGCCAGUUUUAUCCUUUGUGGCCUGAAGUACAUUAUAAGGUUGGGAGUUAUGACCUGCUUCAGUUUUCUGAGAUCACAAUAUGUAUUUAGUUGUGCUUUGCCGAACUGAUAUUUGGUCAGCCAUGGUAGAACUUGAUUUCUAAUUUACCAAGCAAUAAUAAUGUGUGAAGG